UACGUAGGGUGCGAGCGUUGUCCGGAAUUAUUGGGCGUAAAGAGCUUGUAGGCGGUCUGUCGCGUCUGCUGUGAAAAUCCGGGGCUCAACCCCGGACUUGCAGUGGGUACGGGCAGACUAGAGUGUGGUAGGGGAGACUGGAAUUCCUGGUGUAGCGGUGGAAUGCGCAGAUAUCAGGAGGAACACCGAUGGCGAAGGCAGGUCUC
rnacentral:rRNA from 1 species